CAGCUAUAUCAUAUUGAAACACUGAUUCUCGUACGAUCACUGAAGUUAAGCAAUGUUGAGCUUAGUCAUUACUUACAAAGGUGACCACUUGGGAAUACCAGGUGCUGUAA